UGCCAGCAGCCGCGGUAAUACGGAGGGUGCGAACGUUAAUCGGAAUUACUGGGCGUAAAGCGAGCGUAGGCGGUUUGUUAAGUGGGAUGUGAAAGCCCCGGGCUCAACCUGGGAACUGCAUUCCAAACUGGCAGACUAGAGUGUAGUAGGGGGAGGUGGAAUGUGCUGUGUAGCGGUGAAAUGCGUAGAUAUAGCACGGAACACCAGUGGCGAAGGCGGCCUCCUGGACUAACACUGACGCUGAGGUUCGAAAGCGUGGGGAGCAAACAGGAUUAGAUA
rnacentral:rRNA from 1 species